GACGUAGGGUGCGAGCGUUGUCCGGAUUUAUUGGGCGUAAAGAGCUCGUAGGCGGCUCGUCGCGUCGACCGUGAAAACCCGCGGCUUAACCGCGGGCUUGCGGUUGAUACGGGCGGGCUAGAGUUCGGGAGAGGGAUGCGGAAUUCCAGGUGUAGCGGUGAAAUGCGUAGAUAUCUGGAGGAACACCGGUGGCGAAGGCGGCAUCCUGGACCGACACUGACACUGAGGAGCGAAAGCCAGGGGAGCAAACGGG
rnacentral:rRNA from 1 species